UGGUCAUAGGCUUUGAUCCGGUCCCGACCGGUGGCGGAAGGACCCAGGAACUGGCCCAGCCUGAUGCCCACUCGAGCCCUAAUCGGACAAGCCUGGGCCGGCGAUUAUGGAGCCGGAGUAGAUGAGCUUGCCGAUCUCGUCGACGACGCUAAUGCCGCAGUAUAAAGUGGGGCGGCGCACGUUCUCAGGGUCCCUACGCCAGUUUCUCUAUCUCAGACUUACGUAGCGAGUUCUCAUGCCGCUCCUGCACUGCCUGAGGGGAGCUUACACCCAUUAAGCAUCAGAGCAGUGAAAUGAUGGUCCAAUGAUCAUAAGUUGAUAUAAUAAAUGUAACUGGCUAGUUUUUCAAAUGGCUACCUUGAUUUGGGUUCGUCGAUUUUGGAACCAGAACUUGACUUGCCUGGCAGAAAGUCCUAGCUGGUUGCUCAAUUGCUGCCUCUGCUUCUCAUCUGGAUGGGGUGAUUCCUUGAACAGCC